GACGAACGCUGGCGGCGUGCUUAACGCAUGCAAGUCGAACGAAGAGCGAUGGAUGCUUGCUUCUAUCAAUCUUAGUGGCGAACGGGUGAGUAACGCGUAAUCAACCUGCCCUUCAGAGGGGGACAACAGUUGGAAACGACUGCUCAUACCGCAUACGAUCUAAUCUCGGCAUCGAGGAUAGAUGAACGGUGGCCUCUACAUGUAAGCUAUCACAGAAGGAGGGGAUUGCGUCUGAUUAGCUAGUUGGCGGGGUAGCGGCCCACCAAGGCGAUGAUCAGUAGCCGGUCUGAGAGGAUGAACGGCCGCACUGGGACGGAGACACGGCCCAGACUGCUACGGGAGGCAGCAGUAGGGAAUCUGCCGCAAUGGGCGAAAGUCAGACGGCGCAACGCCGCGUGAGUGAUGACGGACUUCGGGUUGUAGAGCUCUGUUAAUCGGGACGAAAGGCCUUCUUGCGAAUAGUGAGAAGGAUUGACGGUACCGGAAGAGAAAGCCACGGCUAACUACGUG
rnacentral:rRNA from 1 species